rnacentral:rRNA from 1 species
AUUGAACGCUGGCGUCAGGCCUAACACAUGCAAGUCGAGCGGAGCGGCGGACGGGUGAGUAAUUCAUAGGAAUCUGCCUGGUAGUGGGUGAUACCGUCCGGAAACGGGCGCUAAUCCCGCAUACUAUCAGCUAAGCCUAGGUCGGUUUAGCUCGUUGGUGGGGUAAAGGCCUACCAAGGCGACGAUCCGUAACCGGGCUGAGAGGAUGAUCAGUCACACUGGAACUGAGAGACGGUCAAGACUCCUACGGGAGUCAGCAGUGGGGAAUAUUGGACAAUUGGCGAAAGCCGGAGCAAGCCAUGCAGCGUGUGUGAAGAAGGUCUUCGGAUUGUAAAGCACUUUAAGUUGGGAGGCGGUACCAACAGAAUAAGCACCGGCUAACUUCGUGCCAGCAGCCGCGGUAAUAC